GAGAGGUCCAGAAGACCUGCUAACUC
rnacentral:tRNA from 1 species